UCCCUGAUAUUCAAUCUUGUGACUCACACUUUGAAAUGCCCUUGUAAACAAAGCAAGCAUGGGUAAGAAUAUGGCAGCUAGGCAGGGAUUAAGUCAAAUUAUGAAAUCUCAAACUCGUGGCGACUCCAAUGCCUGUGAUCGUGAAUACUAUAAUAUUAGAUUCCAAAAGCUUUCUUUCAAAAGAAAGAAAAUUCCGAAGGCAAAAAUGAAG
rnacentral:lncRNA from 1 species